rnacentral:rRNA from 1 species
UACAGAGGUCUCAAGCGUUGUUCGGAUUCAUUGGGCGUAAAGGGUGCGUAGGUGGCGCUGUAAGUCGGGUGUGAAAUUUCGGAGCUUAACUCCGAAACUGCAUUCGAUACUGCCGUGCUUGAGGACUGGAGAGGAGACUGGAAAUUUAUGGUGUAGCGUGAAAUGCGUAGAGAUCAUAGGAAGACCAGUGGCGAAGGCGG